rnacentral:rRNA from 1 species
GAUGAACGCUGGCGGCGUGCCUAAUACAUGCAAGUCGAGCGAACAGACGAGGAGCUUGCUCCUCUGACGUUAGCGGCGGACGGGUGAGUAACACGUGGAUAACCUACCUAUAAGACUGGGAUAACUUCGGGAAACCGGAGCUAAUACCGGAUAAUAUAUUGAACCGCAUGGUUCAAUAGUGAAAGACGGUUUUGCUGUCACUUAUAGAUGGAUCCGCGCCGCAUUAGCUAGUUGGUAAGGUAACGGCUUACCAAGGCAACGAUGCGUAGCCGACCUGAGAGAGUGACAGGCCACAGUGGAAGAGAGACACGGGCCAGACUCCGACGGGAGGCAGCAGUAGGGAAUCUUCCGCAAUGGGCGAAAGCAUGACGGAGCAACGCGGCGUGAGUGAUGAAGGUCUUCGGAUCGUAAAACUCUGUGACUAGGGAAGAACAAAUGUGUAAGUAACUAUGCACGUCAUGACGGUACCUAAUCAGAAAGCAACGGCUAACUACGUG